rnacentral:rRNA from 1 species
UACGGAGGGUGCAAGCGUUAUCCGGAUUCACUGGGUUUAAAGGGUGCGUAGGCGGGUAGGUAAGUCAGUGGUGAAAUCUCCGAGCUUAACUCGGAAACUGCCGUUGAUACUAUUUGUCUUGAAUACUGUGGAGGUAAGCGGAAUAUGUCAUGUAGCGGUGAAAUGCUUAGAUAUGACAUAGAACACCAAUUGCGAAAGGCAGCUUACUACGCAGUUAUUGACGCUGAGGCACGAAAAGCGUGGGGAUCAAACAGG